rnacentral:rRNA from 1 species
AGUCGAACGAUGAAGCCCUUCGGGGUGGAUUAGUGGCGAACGGGUGAGUAACACGUGGGCAAUCUGCCCUUCACUCUGGGACAAGCCCUGGAAACGGGGUCUAAUACCGGAUAACACUCUGUCCCGCAUGGGACGGGGUUAAAAGCUCCGGCGGUGAAGGAUGAGCCCGCGGCCUAUCAGCUUGUUGGUGGGGUAAUGGCCUACCAAGGCGACGACGGGUAGCCGGCCUGAGAGGGCGACCGGCCACACUGGGACUGAGACACGGCCCAGACUCCUACGGGAGGCAGCAGUGGGGAAUAUUGCACAAUGGGCGAAAGCCUGAUGCAGCGACGCCGCGUGAGGGAUGACGGCCUUCGGGUUGUAAACCUCUUUCAGCAGGGAAGAAGCGAAAGUGACGGUACCUGCAGAAGAAGCGCCGGCUAACUACGUGCCAGCAGCCGCGGUAAUACGUAGGGCGCAAGCGUUGUCCGGAAUUAUUGGGCGUAAAGAGCUCGUAGGCGGCUUGUCACGUCGGAUGUGAAAGCCCGGGGCUUAACCCCGGGUCUGCAUUCGAUACGGGCUAGCUAGAGUGUGGUAGGGGAGAUCGGAAUUCCUGGUGUAGCGGUGAAAUGCGCAGAUAUCAGGAGGAACACCGGUGGCGAAGGCGGAUCUCUGGGCCAUUACUGACGCUGAGGAGCGAAAGCGUGGGGAGCGAACAGGAUUAGAUACCCUGGUAGUCCACGCCGUAAACGUUGGGAACUAGGUGUUGGCGACAUUCCACGUCGUCGGUGCCGCAGCUAACGCAUUAAGUUCCCCGCCUGGGGAGUACGGCCGCAAGGCUAAAACUCAAAGGAAUUGACGGGGGCCCGCACAAGCAGCGGAGCAUGUGGCUUAAUUCGACGCAACGCGAAGAACCUUACCAAGGCUUGACAUAUACCGGAAAGCAUCAKAGAUGGUGCCCCCCUUGUGGUCRGUAUACAGGUGKUGCAUGGYURUCGUCAGCUCGUGUCGUGAGAUGUUGGGUUAAGUCCCGCAACGAGCGCAACCCUUGUUCUGUGUUGCCAGCAUGCCCUUCGGGGUGAUGGGGACUCACAGGAGACUGCCGGGGUCAACUCGGAGGAAGGUGGGGACGACGUCAAGUCAUCAUGCCCCUUAUGUCUUGGGCUGCACACGUGCUACAAUGGCCGGUACAAUGAGCUGCGAUGCCGCGAGGCGGAGCGAAUCUCAAAAAGCCGGUCUCAGUUCGGAUUGGGGUCUGCAACUCGACCCCAUGAAGUCGGAGUUGCUAGUAAUCGCAGAUCAGCAUUGCUGCGGUGAAUACGUUCCCGGGCCUUGUACACACCGCCCGUCACGUCACGAAAGUCGGUAACACCCGAAGCCGGUGGCCCAACCCCUUGUGGGAGGGAGCUGUCGAAGGUGGGACUGGCGAUUGGACGAAGUCG